rnacentral:rRNA from 1 species
UGGGGAAUAUUGGACAAUGGGCGCAAGCCUGAUCCAGCCAUGCCGCGUGAGUGAUGAAGGCCCUAGGGUUGUAAAGCUCUUUCACCGGCGAAGAUAAUGACGGUAACCGGAGAAGAAGCCCCGGCUAACUUCGUGCCAGCAGCCGCGGUAAUACGAAGGGGGCUAGCGUUGUUCGGAUUUACUGGGCGUAAAGCGCACGUAGGCGGACUAUUAAGUCAGGGGUGAAAUCCCGGGGCUCAACCCCGGAACUGCCUUUGAUACUGGUAGUCUUGAGUUCGAGAGAGGUGAGUGGAAUUCCGAGUGUAGAGGUGAAAUUCGUAGAUAUUCGGAGGAACACCAGUGGCGAAGGCGGCUCACUGGCUCGAUACUGACGCUGAGGUGCGAAAGCGUGGGGAGCAAACAGG